rnacentral:tRNA from 1 species
AUAUUUAAGUGUUUAAGCAUAUAAAUUUUUGAAAUUUAAGGGUUUAAUUUUGAAAUUAAAAAAUAUAGA